GUGAAAAGAUAACACGCCGCGGGUUGUGAGAAAUUAAAAAAUUAUGAACGAGGUUGCUUGACUGCGUGUCACGUUUGUUCUUUGGCAGAAUAAUAAAACCCGUUAGUUUAUUUUGUCAAAAUUUUUAAGGAUUGUUAUUGUCAGAAGUGUAAUUCUAAAAUAAAGUGUUUAGUGAAAGGCUUGUGGAAAAGUGGUCAUUGUGUUUUGUUUAAAGUAACUUUCUUGUACCUGCCGUUUGUACUGUGCGACCGUGAAGGUUGAGAAUGUUACGUCAUUUACCAGUGGUGUCUGAUAUGAACUUACUCAUUUCCCAUUGAACUAUGAUAAGUUGAAUCUUAUAAGAAGAUAUUACUAAAUAUUUAAUUAUUUUGAUACAUUUUGCGAGGAGUGCGCUAAGUAAUUAUUCAUAGCCACGGAGCGUCGGAACACGGCGCUGAAUGGCGCCUCUCACAUCAAUGCAACAUUUAUGCAUGUGUUAUCUGGUGAAAAUGCAAGAUAACGUGCGGGAAAAAGAACCGUGACCUUGACCCCAGAGCAUAGGCCUAACCUGCCCCAAAAGUGUUGGGUGAAAAGUUCGCGGUCGAUAAUUAAGAUCGUGUCGUGUUCGCGCACGCGCCCUCUGCACCGCCUGUCUGAUCGAUCCACCCGCCCACGUGACGCAACAACGCAUUUACUAGGAUUCUUCUCGACAAGCUCGCCUCUUACCUUUGUUAAGAAUACAAUAAUAAUAUGAAAAAUGUAAUGUUUCUUAAUUUGUAUUUAGCUUUACCACCUUAUUUAGUAUUUUAUGAAAUUAAAAGUUUCAUGGUU